rnacentral:misc_RNA from 1 species
GUACAAGGUUUCCGUAGGUGAACCUGCGGAGGAUCAUUAAAAAAUUGGGUGACUGUAAUUUAGGUUAACCCAUUAAUAAUAUCCUACCCUUUGUGAAUUUGUUUGUUAUGUAAAAUUUUUGUCUAUCCCUAAAGAAAGGUUGGAUAAGUGUAAUAGCUUAAAAAACUUUUUUUAGGGAAUGGCUUAAGACUUUUAUUUAAAAUUAACUUUUGUAUUCAUUUGUCUAAAAUUAAUUUUAAAUAAAUAAAUUUAAAAACAACUUUUGACAAGAUCUCUUGGUUCUCGCACGAUGAAGAACGCAGCAAAAUGCGAUAAGUAAUGUGAAUUGCAGAAUACGUGAAUCAUCAAAUCUUCGAACGCAUAUUGCACUUUUUUAGUUUACUAAAAAAGUAUGUCUGUUUGAGUAUCAGUAAAAUAUUCUCAUAAAAUCAUUUGAUUUUAUGGUUAUGAGUGUUUACAACGAUAAACAAGUUGUUUCACUUUAAAUGGACUUUAAUUGAAAUCGUCGGUUGGGAACGAUUUUAAUUUUUUUAAAAAAUUGGAUAAAAUUUUCCCGUAAAAAGAAUAAGCUAUUUCAGUUUUUUAGAAUUUUAAUAGUUCCAUACGGUACAGUAUAGGAAAUUUAUUUAUAAAUAAUUGAUCUCAAAUCAGAUAAGAGUACCCGCUGAACUUAAGCAUAUCAAUAAGCGGAGGAAAGAAACUAACAAGAUUCCUUAGUAACGGCGAGUGAAGCGGGAAGAGCUCAAAUUUGAAAUCUUCAAGGUUCUACCUUGACGAAUUGUAGUUUAAAGAAGUGUUUUCUGUUAGAGGAGUGGCAAAGUUCUUUGGAAUAGGACAUCAUAGAGGGUGAGAAUCCGUAUUUGGUCAUUCUUUCUAGCUGUGUGAUACACUUUCAAAGAGUCGGAUUGUUUGGGAAUGCAGUCCAAAAUGGGUGGUAAAUUUCAUCUAAAGCUAAAUAUUGGCGAGAGACCGAUAGCGACAAGUACCGUGAGGGAAAGAUGAAAAGAACUUUAAAAGAGAGUUAAACAGUACGUGAAAUUGUCAAAAGGGAAGCGUUUGACACCAGUGUUGUUUUUCCGAAAAUCAAUUGUGCCUGGCUGGAUUUUGUAGGAGUUUGACCUUAUCAGCUUCUUCUGCUUUUUCCGGUCUGGUGUAAUGCACUUUUCGGUUAACAAGUCAACAUCAAUUUCUUUUGUUGUAAAAGGGUAAUGGAAGGUGGCUUUCUUUUCGGAGAAAGUGUUUAUAGCCUUUUACCUCUACAAUCGGAGAGAUUGAGGUCUGCAGCGUAGAUCCUUCGGGGUUAGAUACAUUUGUGCUAAGUUAUAGCCUGUAUAGACAACUCGUUGACUAUACUCGGUCAUGUAGCUUACUCGCUUAUGCUAUUUUACCUACGCUUAGGAUGUUGAA